CCUACGGGUGGCAGCAGUGAGGAAUAUUGGUCAAUGGGCGCUAGCCUGAACCAGCCAAGUAGCGUGAAGGAUGACUGCCCUAUGGGUGUUAACCUUCUUUUAUAUGGGAAUAAAGUGCAUUUUGUAUACUGCUUUGCAUGUACCUUAUGAAUAAGGAUCGGCUAACUCCGUGCCAGCAGCCGCGGUAAUACUGAGCAUGCGAGCGUUAUGCGGAUUUAUGGGGUUUAAAGGGAGCGUAGGCGGGUUGUUAAGUCAGUUGUGAAAGUUUGCGGCUCAACCGUAAAAUUGAAGUUGAUACUGGCAUACUUGAGUGCAGUAGAGGUAGGCGGAAUUCGUGGUGUAGCGGUGAAAUGCUUAGAUAUCACGAAGAACUCCAAUUGCGAAGGCAGCCUGCUGGACUGUAACUGACGCUGAUGCGCGAAAGUGUGGGUAUCAAACAGGAUUAGAUACCCCUGUAGUC
rnacentral:rRNA from 1 species